rnacentral:rRNA from 1 species
AUGGAUCCAGCCACGAUCGCCAGGACCACCAGCAGCUCCAGCCGCAUCAGCAUCAGCGAGCCACAGAUCUACGGGCCGCGGACCCUCAGGGACGAAGGAGUUGUCAGAAAAGAGGAGAGGGACGAGCUUACAUGGGCCCUCCUUGCCAAGAUUGAGAGCUGCUACGGGCGGGUGAAGCUCCUCCAGGGGGUCUUCGACGCUGGCUUCUGCUUCGGACUCCUAGAUCCCAUCUCCAACAUCGUCGCCGGCGUCUCCAUCGCCGGCGCCAUGAGCGUGGAUGACCUUGACAAUGAACCCGUCCCCGCAGCAUCUUUCCCGAAGCGGAGAAAAAUAGAUUUGAUCGGGGAUAUGCACCAGCGGUCGCUCAACGGCCUUGUAGCCUUCCUGGCCGCCCUCUUCCCCUACCUCACCGAGCCCAAGGCUAUGUGGUACCUCAACAAAGCCGAGUUGGAUCCCCUCGUUGCCGCCCGCCUCAUCAUCCAGCACCGGGGGAUGGAGCAGAGUUUCAGGUUUAAAUCCGACGCCACUGUCGCCGCCGUGGAACUGGCCCUUAGAUGUGCUGCAGCUGCCACCCAACACCCGUGCCCGAAGCAGUUUGCGUCAGCUUGGAAGCUGCUUUCACAUUUUCUUGAGUGUCGCCACCGUGCUAUCAGGCCCAUGUGUAACUUUCGAUCGUUUCCAGUCCACUGA